UACGUAGGGACCAAGCGUUGUCCGGAAUCAUUGGGCGUAAAGAGCGUGUAGGCGGCUCGGUAAGUCCGCUCUGAAAGCCCGGGGCUCAACCCCGGGAGGCGGGCGGAUACUGUCGGGCUAGAGUCCGGAAGAGGCGAGUGGAAUUCCUGGUGUAGCGGUGAAAUGCGCAGAUAUCAGGAGGAACACCAAUGGCGAAGGCAGCUCGCUGGGACGGUACUGACGCUGAGACGCGAAAGCGUGGGGAGCAAACAGG
rnacentral:rRNA from 1 species